AUCCUCCAAGGCUAAAUACUCCUGACUGACCGAUAGUGAACCAGUACCGUGAGGGAAAGGCGAAAAGAACCCCGGCGAGGGGAGUGAAAGAGAACCUGAAACCGUGUACGUACAAGCAGUGGGAGCCCCACCACCAAAGCGUUUCGCUUUGCGUGGUGCACAAAAUGCGUAACAGCAGCACUGAUGACGGUUGGCGGAGCGGCAGCGACGCCCAACACACAAAUCAAGCAGUGGAGCGUUUUGGGGUGGGGUGACUGCGUACCUUUUGUAUAAUGGGUCAGCGACUUAUAUUCUGUAGCAAGGUUAACCGGAUAGGGGAGCCGCAGGGAAACCGAGUCUUAACUGGGCGAAAGAGUUGCAGGGUAUAGACCCGAA
rnacentral:rRNA from 2 species